UGGGGAAUUUUGGACAAUGGGCGCAAGCCUGAUCCAGCAAUGCCGCGUGCAGGAUGAAGGCCUUCGGGUUGUAAACUGCUUUUGUACGGAACGAAAAAGCUCUCUCUAAUACAGGGGGUGAAUGACGGUACCGUAAGAAUAAGCACCGGCUAACUACGUGCCAGCAGCCGCGGUAAUACGGAGGGUGCGAGCGUUAUCCGGAUUUACUGGGUUUAAAGGGUGCGUAGGUGGGCUUAUAAGUCAGUGGUGAAAUCUCCGAGCUUAACUUGGAAACUGCCGGUGUUACUAUAGGUCUUGAAUUAUCUGGGGGUAAGCGGAAUAUGUCAUGUAGCGGUGAAAUGCUUAGAUAUGACAUAGAACACCAAUUGCGAAGGCAGCUUACUACAUAUAAAUUGACGCUGAGGCACGAAAGCGUGGGGA
rnacentral:rRNA from 1 species